rnacentral:rRNA from 1 species
AUUGAACGCUGGCGGCAUGCUUUACACAUGCAAGUCGAACGGCAGCACGGACUUCGGUCUGGUGGCGAGUGGCGAACGGGUGAGUAAUACAUCGGAACGUGCCCAGUUGUGGGGGAUAACUACUCGAAAGAGUAGCUAAUACCGCAUGAGAACUGAGGUUGAAAGCAGGGGAUCGUAGGACCUUGGGCAACCGGAGCGGCCGGUGGCAGAUUCGGGAGUUGGAGGGAUAAAAGCUUACCAAGCCGACGAGCUGUAGCUGGUCUGAGAGGACGCCCAGCCACACUGGGACUGAGACACGGCCCAGACUCCUACGGGAGGCAGCAGUGGGGAAUUUUGGACAAUGGGCGAAAGCCUGAUCCAGCAAUGCCGCGUGCAGGAUGAAGGCCUUCGGGUUGUAAACUGCUUUUGUACGGAACGAAAAGCUUCGGGUUAAUACCCUGGAGUCAUGACGGUACCGUAAGAAUAAGCACCGGCUAACUACGUGCCAGCCGCCGCCGUAAGAC